AACGCACGAGACCUGCGGACCUGCGGAGGGAUCAUCAUUGAAAUUCAUACCUAUACACCCUUGUGAACCAAGCGGCGCUGAUAUGCAUUGUAUAUUAGUGCUGCUGAGCCUGUAUUAGCAGAAUCAAUCGUGUUGGCAGGAUUUAGUGUAUGUACGCAGUGGGAGGGAGUGCGCGCAUCAUGCAUGUGUGCCUAAACUACUGCUGCGCUGCUGCUGCCUGCCAACCUUUGGUCUGCUGUC
rnacentral:misc_RNA from 1 species